rnacentral:rRNA from 1 species
AUUGAACGCUGGCGGCAGGCCUAACACAUGCAAGUCGAGCGAGGGCGGACGGGUGAGUAAUGUAUGGGGACUGCCCGAUAGAGGGGGAUAACUACUGGAAACGGUGGCUAAUACCGCAUACUAUCGGAUAACCCAUAUGGGAUUAGCUAGUAGGUGGGGUAAAGGCUAACCUAGGCGACGAUCUCUAGCUGGUCUGAGAGGAUGAUCAGCCACACUGGGACUGAGACACGGCCCAUACUCCUACGGAGGCAGCAGUGGGGAAUAUUGCAUAAUGGGUGCAAGCCUGAUGCAGUCAUGCCGAGUGUAUGAAGAAGGCCUUAGGUUUGUAAAGUACUUUCAGCGGGGAGGCGUUACCCGCAGAAGAAGCACCGGCUAACUCAGUGGCAGCCGCGGGGGUAAUUC